AUCAGAACCCAGGUUGGUUGUCUUCUGGAGGUAUCAGAACCCAGGUUGGUUGUCUUCUGGAGGUAUCAGGCCUCAGGUUGGUUGUGUUCUGGGGCCAUCAGGCCUCAGGUUGGUUGUCUUCUGGAGGUAUCAGGCCUCAGGUUGGUUGUCUUCUGGAGGUAUCAGGCCUCAGGUUGGUUGUCUUCUGGAGGUACAGUAUCAGGCCUCAGGUUGUCUUCUGGAAGUAUCAGGCCUCAGGUUGGUUGUCUUCUGGAGGUAUCAGGCCUCAGGUUGGUUGUCUUCUGGAGGUAUCAGGCCUCAGCUUGGUUGUCUUCUGGAAGUAUCAGGCCUCAGGUUGGUUGUCUUCUGGAGGUACAGUAUCAGGCCUCAGGGCAAAGUGAUAUGGGAUACCUGACAGAAUGACAAAUUGAGGAAAGAUCAGAGGCUUGUCACUAAGACCACAUUAAACACACAUGGAACUCCAAAAUAUGUUUUCACAGUAACGUGUAGGCUCCUCCUGUUUUCUGUUGAAGCCAGUUGCUCAGUUUCAGGUCACAGCCAAUGUCAGUGACAGGUGAGCAACAUUUGAGCUUGUUUGAUCUACAGUGUAUUGGCAUAUGUGUUUGGGGGGUUAUAGCAAGCAGAUGAUUGAUAGUUGUCGUUGUAGUGUGUGG
rnacentral:lncRNA from 1 species